rnacentral:snoRNA from 1 species
UGAUAAUGAUGAAGCAAUAAAUCUAAUCCAACACUUGAUCUGAUUAAAUGCUAUAUGCAUUUGAUGUUAUACUCCCUCCGUUUUUAAAUGCAA